rnacentral:rRNA from 1 species
GAUGAACGCUGGCGGCGUGCUUAACACAUGCAAGUCGAACGGAAAGGCCACAGCUUGCUGUGGUACUCGAGUGGCGAACGGGUGAGUAACACGUGGGUGAUCUGCCCUGUACUUCGGGAUAAGCUUGGGAAACUGGGUCUAAUACCGGAUAGGAAUCACAUGUGGGUGUGUGGUUGGAAGGCUUUUGCGGUAUGGGAUGAGCUCGCGGCCUAUCAGCUUGUUGGUGGGGUAAUGGCCUACCAAGGCGUCGACGGGUAGCCGGCCUGAGAGGGUGUACGGCCACAUUGGGACUGAGAUACGGCCCAGACUCCUACGGGAGGCAGCAGUGGGGAAUAUUGCACAAUGGGCGCAAGCCUGAUGCAGCGACGCCGCGUGGGGGAUGACGGCCUUCGGGUUGUAAACUCCUUUCGUCAGGGACGAAGCGAAAGUGACGGUACCUGGAUAAGAAGCACCGGCUAACUACGUG